rnacentral:lncRNA from 10 species
UUACUUUUGCCUGGUCUCCUGCUGUCUGGAACAGUUUUUCAGUCUUCCUUCAUUUUCAAGAGUGUGAAAGGAUCCCAAGACCAAAAGUCUGGGAACUGCUGGUUUAGAGUCACAAUACUGACUGCUCAAAAUGACUUUUUAAAGAAGAAAGCCUUAAAAACCCUUGAGUGAAUGGUUGGUAUUUACAGACAAGCAAAUGUAUGGAAGAGAAACGAGAGACCCAGCCUGAAUCUGUUGAAUGAACGAAAGGGGAAAUGCCCUAAGGAGUCAGAUGGAAGAAGUUUUUCUGGGAAGAGCAGAACACAGGAGUUGGGGUGCAGACCUCCUGGAUCACCAGCAGAAGGAAAAGAGCAGUGAGACGUUAAAGUGAUUGAGACAAAAAUGGAAGUAAAACAGCUUAAGGCUUUCUGAGAUCGAGUUCCUGGCAGUGUCAUCAGCAGAUGGUUUCUUCUGAAGUUCAGGGGAAGAGAAGAUGCUCGAAGAACUCUCCAGGGACUGAGUGGGUGGUACAGAGCUAGUGCUGUAGAUGCCAUGUAUACAGGCAAAUUCCCCAAUGAGUGUUUUCCAAUAUCAAGUUUAACUGGCAUUUAAGAUAUAUGCCAAAGGUAGGUAAAUUAUUUUGGCCUGUGCUUAUAGGUUUAUUUCCCUGGAU